rnacentral:lncRNA from 1 species
UUCCACAUAUCAGCUGAGGCACUCUCCGACUGUACUUUACUCAAUUUUAAGAACAAAGUGAUACCUGAAAUAUAAAUAGAGCAUUGACACAAAAAGGUAUAGAUCCCACAAUACUGAAACAGUUAAUCUCGGACUUAAGCAGGCUAUACCAAAAAUAUGCAAACAAAAUGGGUGCAUUCAACACACGUGGAAUACGCCAAAAAUAUCCAACUCAAACCACUAUCUCAUAGGGCAAAAACGAGGUUUAGUUUUAUGAGUAUUUUAAGAACUAUUCUUAUCUAACUAAUCAGCAUUUGAUAGAUUAUCUAACUCCAAGUAAAUUAAUGGCAAACAAGGGCAAGCAUAUGCUGGUGGCAUUAGUCAAAGUAACCCAAAAAAAGAGUAGAGGUUAAGAUAGUUAGGCUAUCAUAAUCAUAAAAAUAUGCCCUCAAAACAUAUGACUCGCUUGAUUACAACAGAUGUGUUUGACAUGACGAAAGGUUAAAUUAGUGUGAUAUCCAACAUUAUUUUAUUCAUCUGUCUUCAAUUUCUAUCAAGUAAUAUUUACUAGAUGAAUAAGAAGUGCAAUGUUUACCUGUAGUAGAAGCUGUAAUGUCCUGUAUCUUCUUCUAAUAGGAAAUGUCCGCUGUAAAUUUUCUAGCUGAGAACAUCAAAGCAACGUUAAUGGGAGAAUUUACAGGUAGAUGAUUAAGCAUGGUUUCUUGUUAUUCUAACUACUUGAUGACUAAUCAUUACCCCAAUCCUGAAGCAGGAGAUUAAGAGCAACAUUCUAAUAUUAACCUGACA